AACGGUAGCGUGGCCCUGCCAGCACUUGUCGGGUGUUAAACCGUAACUCUCCCAACUCAGCGGGCCUUUGCUCGUGGGAAGCCCCGCCGUUUACGGCGGGGAGGAGGUCACCCCCAGAAUAUAC
rnacentral:misc_RNA from 1 species